rnacentral:tRNA from 1 species
GCCUCUGUGGUGGAAUGGUAGACACACACGAUUUAAAAUCGUGUGCUUAAAGCGUACCGGUUCAAGUCCGGUCAGAGGUA